rnacentral:tRNA from 2 species
GUCUUUGUAGUAUAAUAUAAUACCCCGGUCUUGUAAACCGGAAAUGGAAAAUAUCUACCCCUAAGACA